UACGUAGGGGGCUAGCGUUGUCCGGAAUCAUCGGGCGUAAAGCGCGUGUAGGCGGUCCGGUAAGUCCGCUGUGAAAGUCGAGGGCUCAACCUCGAAUGCCGGUGGAUACUGUCGGGCUUGAGUACGGGAGAGGCGAGUGGAAUUCCUGGUGUAGCGGUGAAAUGCGCAGAUAUCAGGAGGAACACCGAUUGCGAAGGCAGCUCGCUGGAACGUUACUGACGCUGAGACGCGAAAGCGUGGGGAGCAAACAGG
rnacentral:rRNA from 1 species